GUGAUGAUGAUGAAAAAUCAGCUUUGAUCAUAGCAAUCAACUGACCCUUCGCAAAAAACCCACCCUCCUUAAAUACUGUUGCUAUGUCUGACAAGCCAUGCUGCUCUCACAGUACACACCUUGUUCUCACACAGCGAAAAAUAGAUCGUGGACCAAAGAGGAAACUGACAGCACACUGACAGAAGAAUACAGAGAAGGUCACUUCUGAUCCAUGAAAGUCCUCAUCUUCUGUGUCUGAACUGAACAGCUGGGCAAUAGCUUUUGAACAGUUUCCCCAUCAAACAUGCCGGGUUCCCUCUCAUCAUGGUUGAUCGCGGACAGCAUACGUAGUCCUCGUGUAUGGAGACUUCAGAAGAUGCCAGACGUCACAAAGAUUUCAGAUGAUGGAAACUAUAGAUGAACAUGCAAAGCUGCUAAAUAAUCCUUAUAUUGUAAUCAUUGCCCUAAAAGGUAAUAUUGCAGGCUGAUUUAAGGUGUGCACCUACAUUUUCUGCUUGUACUCCUAUGUUUUUAUGAUACAAAUGUAAAUGACUGCAAAUGAACAUAAG